rnacentral:rRNA from 1 species
UGGUUUAAUUCGACGCAACGCGAAGAACCUUACCAGCCCUUGACAUGUACUGGAAUGCCCGCAGAGACGUGGGCAGCCGCAAGGCCAGUACACAGGUGUUGCAUGGCUGUCGUCAGCUCGUGUCGUGAGAUGUUGGGUUAAGUCCCGCAACGAGCGCAACCCUCGCCAUUAGUUGCCAUCAUUCAGUUGGGCACUCUAGUGGGACUGCCGGUGAUAAGCCGAGGAAGGUGAGGAUGACGUCAAGUCAUCAUGGCCCUUACGGGCUGGGCUACACACGUGCUACAAUGGCGGUGACAGUGGGCAGCGAGGCAGUAAUGCCAAGCUAAUCUCAAAAAGCCGUCUCAGUUCGGAUUGAGGUCUGCAACUCGACCUCAUGAAGUCGGAAUCGCUAGUAAUCGCGCAUCAGCACGGCGCGGUGAAUACGUUCCCGGGCCUUGUACACACCGCCCGUCACACCAUGGGAGUUGGUCUUACCCUAAGACGGUGCGCUAACCGCAAGGAGGCAGCCGGCCACGGUAAGGUCAGCGACUGGGGUGAAGUCGUCGUAACAAGGUAACCGUAA